GUUUUGAGUUGUAUUCAUCGUGUGUUAAUAUGCUAUGAUUGCUAUGAACAUGACUUUUGUAUUUCAGCGAAGACAACAUAGGUAAGUAAAAUUGUUAUCUGUUUCAUGUUUACUGUUACAGUUCAAUAUUGUGUUUAUAAAUUGUAAGUUGUACAAACACAUUCAAAAGUUUCUGAUCAUGCUUUCGAUUUCAUUUCAGCUUUACUGCUGGACGAGUGUUCUCUACUACUAGACGUGUCAGGUUUACUACCAGGCGAGCAGUGACAACAAGGCGCCUUUGUGGAAACAACACAACAAAAAACUGUACUGCUAGACGAGCAGUGACAGAAAGGCGCCUUAACAUGCAACACAAAACAAAAAAUGCCAAUAUCCAAACCUUGAUGUGGACACCGAGUAGUCAAUACAUACGUGUGGCGUAUAGCUGCGACAAAACCGUGGGUCCAUCGCACCGAUAACUUGAACAUUGGCCCGUGUAUGGACAUCAGUGCAACUUUGUGAAUCCAUGUAACUUUGUGAAUCCAUGUAACAUUGCGAAUGUGUGUCGAUCGAAAAAUGUGUACAUUCUGCACUGAAACGAACUCGGUGUUGCAAGUGGCAAGUGUUGACAGUGUGUAUGUUUAUGUUUAUGUUUUUACAUGAAAAAUAAAGGAGAUUGUUCUCCUACCUUUUUUUUCCUUGUUUUAUUGUGCUGGCCAGCAAUAUUGAUGUAUUGAUGUAUGU